rnacentral:lncRNA from 1 species
UUUCCUGCCAUGUGCUCUCUUGGCCAGGGCAGCCCUGGACAGAGCCCUUGCUGAUGGAAGUGGCCUUUGCCCAGCGCCCUGCAGCAGGAGUUGCAGUAGGCUCUAAUUUCGCUUUGACCUGCAGAGACCAAUCUCCCACUAUUCAUUAAUGAAAAAGACUUCAAAGGAAGCUGUCAGGAUAAACCAGCAAGAUGGAGAAGAAAGAGGGGCACCCGCAGAGCUGAACCGCAUGACCUGGCAAAAGCUGGCCCCCAUAAGUUCCAGGGGACUAGCAGGGAUGGCAACUCUCAUUUGUACAUGUGUCUUCAACAAGACUCUGGUUGCAAAGAGGGAAAAAGAAUAGCCCUAUGACCAAGAUAGGGGGCCCUGACCCUAAAGAGCUUCCCUGGGGCUUCUUAGGGAUUGGGUCCAGGACCUGAGAGGAAAUCCAACAAAAAUAAGAAGGGAAUAACUGAACCCCAAAAAGGUCAUUAUUGGGUCUUUUUGUUAAGAUCAUCAAUCAGAGAAGGUGGUGCACAGACAAAAGCACAACCAUUGAAGCCAACCUCUUAGCCCCUGAAUGGGACAGGGACAAACAAACCAUCCUGAGCCUCAAGUUCCACAUGCACAAAAUGGGCACAAAAUUCCUGCCGGGGAGUUGCAACCACAGAUAUAAUGAGUACAAUGCCAGCCACAUAGAAUGCAUGCCGGAAAAGAGAAGCAUUUUCUUCCCUGGGGAAUCUAAUUAAAGGCUUUCAGAACACUUGCAGUUUGAAAGUUCAUCCAAGUAUCUAAUGUGCUUCUAAAUUCCUUGUGUUUAUCUGCCACAUGCCUUCCACAUAUUUGUG